rnacentral:rRNA from 1 species
CCUACGGGAGGCAGCAGUGGGGAAUAUUGCACAAUGGGCGAAAGCCUGAUGCAGCGACGCCGCGUGAGGGAUGACGGCCUUCGGGUUGUAAACCUCUUUCAGCAGGGAAGAAGCGAAAGUGACGGUACCUGCAGAAGAAGCGCCGGCUAACUACGUGCCAGCAGCCGCGGUAAUACGUAGGGCGCAAGCGUUGUCCGGAAUUAUUGGGCGUAAAGAGCUCGUAGGCGGCUUGUCACGUCGGAUGUGAAAGCCCGAGGCUUAACCUCGGGUCUGCAUUCGAUACGGGCUAGCUAGAGUGUGGUAGGGGAGAUCGGAAUUCCUGGUGUAGCGGUGAAAUGCGCAGAUAUCAGGAGGAACACCGGUGGCGAAGGCGGAUCUCUGGGCCAUUACUGACGCUGAGGAGCGAAAGCGUGGGGAGCGGAACAGGAUUAGAUACCCUGGUAGUCCACGCCGUAAACGUUGGGAACUAGGUGUUGGCGACAUUCCACGUCGUCGGUGCCGCAGCUAACGCAUAAGUUCCCACUGGGAGUACGGCCGCAAGGCAAACUCAAAGGAAUUGAGG